rnacentral:lncRNA from 1 species
CUCGGACCUUCUAAAAAUUUUUGCAACCUCUCCCUUCAACUGACCAAUCUCCUCAGCUGUCCCAUACUGUCGUUUCAUGAAAAUAUUUAUAUUUUCGGACAAGACACGCAUCUGAUGCAUGAAAGAGUCAUUUGCCCCUCAAAAGAAAUAGUCAUCUCCUCCAAACUCUGAAAGAUAUACUGUCGAAGAUCUGAAUGGUCAAUCUUCUGAACCGCAAUAGUCCCAUGGUCCACAACUCUCUCC